GUGUCAGCAGCCGCGGUAAUACGGAGGAUGCAAGCGUUAUCCGGAAUCAUUGGGCGUAAAGCGUCCGCAGGUGGCUGUUCAAGUCUGCUGUUAAAGACAGAAGCUCAACUUCUGAGCAGCAGUGGAAACUGGACAGCUAGAGUACGGUAGGGGUUGAGGGAAUUUCCAGUGUAGCGGUGAAAUGCGUAGAUAUUGGGAAGAACACCAGUGGCGAAGGCGCUCAACUGGGCCGUAACUGACACUCAGGGACGAAAGCUAGGGUAGCGAAAGGGAUUAGAUACCCCUGUAGUCUUAGCUGUAAACGAUGAACACUAGGCGUUGCUUGUAUCGACCCGAGCAGUGCCGUAGCCAACGCGUUAAGUGUUCCGCCUGGGGAGUACGCACGCAAGUGUGAAACUUAAAGGAAUUGACGGGG
rnacentral:rRNA from 1 species